rnacentral:pre_miRNA from 1 species
UUCGAAAAGGGCAUAUAUGGGCCAACUGUGUAACUCUAAGGGUAUAUAUGGACCAACUAUGUGACGGUAAGGGCAU